AACAACAAUACUAAGUGUGUCGACAGGAUGUUGGCGGGAACAGGAAAAAAAGCCUAAAGGAUUGGGUAUCUUCAGGAUGAAGAUUUGAUAGCUUAGGAUGAGUUGUCAGCAAGGAUGUAGUUAUGCUCUAGGAUAGAGUUCGCCCGUCAGGAUGAUAGGCAAGAAUGGACACCGCUAGGAAGGCGAUGAACAAGGAACUCGGUUAAAGGACUUAGCCACAAUCAAGGAUAGAUGCAGGGAGCACCUAUUAGUAGCCGGAUUGCUGCGAAAAAGAAUAAGCCCCGUCUGGGAAACCAGGCGGGGUUUUAUUUUGC
rnacentral:other from 1 species